rnacentral:rRNA from 1 species
GAUGAACGCUGGCGGCGUGCUUAACACAUGCAAGUCGAACGGAAAGGCCCAAGCUUUCUUGGGUACUCGAUUGGCGAACGGGUGAGUAACACGUGGGGGAUCUGCCCUGCACUUCGGGAUAAGCCUGGGAAACUGGGGCUAAUACCGGAUAGGACGUUGGUUUGGAUGUCAUUGUGGAAAGUUUUUUCGGUGUGGGAUGAGCUCGCGGCCUAUCUGCUUGUUGGUGGGGUAAUGGCCUACCAAGGCGUCGACGGGUAGCCGGCCUGAGUGGGUGUACGGCCACAUUGGAACUGGGAUAGGGCCCAGAGUCAGACGGGUGGCGGAAGGGGGGAAUAUUGCACAAUGGGCGCAAGCGUGAGGCAGCGACGCCGCGGGGGGGAUGACGGCCUUCGGGUUGGAAACUCCUUCCGCUAGGGACGAAGCGUUUUUGUGACGGUACCUGAGGAAGAAGCACCGGCUAACUACGUG